rnacentral:rRNA from 1 species
ACAGCAGCCGCCGCGGGAAUACGUAGGUGGCAAGCGUUGUCCGGAAUUAUUGGGCGUAAAGGGCUCGCAGGCGGUUUCUUAAGUCUGAUGUGAAAGCCCCCGGCCCAACCGGGGAGGGUCAUUGGAAACUGGGAAACUUGAGUGCAGAAGAGGAGAGUGGAAUUCCACGUGUAGCGGUGAAAUGCGUAGAGAUGUGGAGGAACACCAGUGGCGAAGGCGACUCUCUGGUCUGUAACUGACGCUGAGGAGCGAAAGCGUGGGGAGCGAACAGGAUUAGAUACCCCUGUAGUCCCUGUCUCUUAUAA